ACCGCUGGGCGACCCAGCACUGAGCACAGCUGCACCAGGAGAGCACGGCUUUUCCCACAGAGUGGGUUAGACCAGGAUCCGCGUGGCACUGCUGUCAAACUGAGAGUACGGUUUCCUGUGCUGUGGUCUUGCCUUUUGCCCUGGUAUUGCUAGAGGGGAUGAGCACAACGGAUGAGUUGUACCGGAAUGUGUGAAACUGCUUGAAAUACCCUGAAGACCUAUUGUGGAAAGCAUGUUUACAAGACCCAUUUAAAUAUCUAUACUCUCAUCAAGGCAAACGUUUAUAAUUACUACUUGCUUUGUGAAAUAGACUCUGUUAAAUAGAUGACCAUCUACAUAGUGUAAUAUUACAAAAGUUAGUCAUUGUAGAUAAAAGAUAGCAAAUUAAACUCUAGAAUUUAAAAAAUAAAAACAUUACAUAGCACAGGGUAGGAAAAGUUGUCAAGAAAAAUACAUGAGAAAUUGAAGUUUUCAUAAAUUAAUAU